GUGUCAGCAGCCGCGGUAAUACGUAGGGGGCAAGCGUUGUCCGGAAUCAUUGGGCGUAAAGCGCGUGUAGGCGGCCAGGUAAGUCCGCUGUGAAAACUCGAGGCUCAACUUCGAGAUGUCGGCGGAAACUAUCUGGCUAGAGUCCGGAAGAGGAGAGUGGAAUUCCUGGUGUAGCGGUGAAAUGCGCAGAUAUCAGGAAGAACACCCGUGGCGAAGGCGGCUCUCUGGGACGGUACUGACGCUGAGACGCGAAAGCGUGGGGAGCAAACAGGAUUAGAAACCCUCGUAGUCC
rnacentral:rRNA from 1 species